rnacentral:rRNA from 1 species
UACGGAGGGGGCUAGCGUUGUUCGGAAUUACUGGGCGUAAAGGGCGCGCAGGCGGCUGCUCAAGUCAGGCGUGAAAGGCCUGGGCUCAACCCGGGAAUUGCGCUUGAGACUGGGCUGGCUUGAGUGCGGGAGAGGAUGGUGGAAUUCCCAGUGUAGAGGUGAAAUUCGUAGAUAUUGGGAAGAACACCGGUGGCGAAGGCGGCGAUCUGGGAAGAUACUGACGCUGAGGUGCGAAAGCGUGGGGAGCAAACA